UCCAUCCACCCUAUAACAAAGCUUAUCAUCUCUUCUUUCCCCUUGCUACAUCCUUGAAAAAUUGUUCACACAUUAAUUUGCUAAUAAUUUCUCAAACAAAUUUAACCCUAAGUUCAUUCAAAUUUCGAAUUCUUUAUAAAAUGGUGCAUUCACAAGAAUAAAAAUUUACGAACAAUAACAAUUUUGUGAUUGAUGAUGAUGAAAAGGAGUUAGAAUUUGAUGAAACGUCGUCGUCGUUGUCAUUGUCGUCGUCCGAUGAGUCAUCGGGCGAGGACGUUUGUAUGUUUGGAUCGGGUGAUACGAAUGUUCUUCAGUGGCUAUUGGCUUUAGAUUUGCAGGUUAUGGGAGCUUGUAGAGUGGGUGAAAGGUUAAAGCCUUUAUUGAAAAUUAAUGUAUCUGCUGGUGCUGCGGAAGAUCGAUUGCUUGCUCAUCUUAGUCAAGUUUUGGAGUUGAAGAAGGGGAAAAAAGGUGUUAUGGUGUGGUGGACGAUUGAUUGAUUGAUUGUUGCGAAUGCUGGAGGAAGAUUUGGUUGAAGUUAAGUUCCGUUUGUUCGAUGGAUCAGAUGUUGGUCCCUUUCGAUUUUCACUGGCUUCCACCGUUGCUAUGCUUAAAGACAGAAUUGUUGCUGAAUUGCCCAAAGUUGGGGAAGGGCACGCUUGGUAUGGCGUAUAAAGCGAUAUUAGAAGAUGCUACCACAAUGGUUGUGAAGAGGUUGAAGGAUGUAGGUGCUGGGAAGGAGGAGUUUGAGCAACAAAUGGAGAUUGUGGGAAGCAUAAAACACAAAAAUGUAGUCGAGCUUCGAGCAUAUUACUAUUCAGCGAGGGUAGUGUUGCUGCAAUGCUCCAUGAUUCAUGCUUCUCCUUUAUAUAACAAGAAUAGGUAUAUUAAUUAGUAACUUUUCACAUGAUUGACAAAAUCAGUUAUUUGCUAUCCCUAACUAUGCUGCUCAGACUCUUCAAAAUGCUGCCAGGUGCAUGUCGGAUCCUUCAAAAGUAGAACAUAUAUGGAGGAUCCAACACAAGUAUGACAACAUUCUUGGAGACUCCGAGUUACAUAGUCUCUAAGUGAGAUUUUAUGAUCAGUCAUGUAAGUUUAGUGAAUUGAAAAACAUAACAAUUAGAAACAACAUAGAAUCUUCCAAUCUAAAGGCCAACUAAUAUAAAUUGUCGUGUUAUGGGUAGUGCCAAAUGGAAAUCCACUGAGGUAUAUAUAUUCUAUGUUCCAUAUAUUUGUCUCAUUCCAUCUUAGCAGUUAGUUGUACCUAAAAUGUGGAUGAUCCUAACAUGGGGUUUACGCAUCUUUGUGGUGCAGUGACUCCUUUCUGUUAAUAAGAUAAUCAAAAUCCUAUCUCUAUUUUAUAAUUCCACAACAUAUUUUACUGUACAAAUCAUUGUCAAUACCCCUUUGUCUCUAGAGUUCGAUUAUUACACUAUUUUGACUGAAUUAUUUUAUAGGAUGUGGAUAAUCAUUUCUGAUCUCUAUCCACCUUUUUAUAGCAAGUCAAAAUCGUUCAUAAUUUUGUCGAGGUCCCAGUUUCUUUUUUCCCAAUUCUUUCUCCACCAAGCAUUUGCACAUGAUGUCAAACUGCAUGAAUGGCUAAGCUUAAAGGAGAAUAUUGUUUUUAGUUUGUUGGCAUCUUUCAUUACCAUUAUCACUGGUGGGACCUAAUUUAAUUGACUAGAAGUUUAGAUUAAGGAAUCCUAAGCUAUUGUCAACCUUAAUAUGCUUGAAUAUUUUGAGAACAUGACGACAAAAGACGUUAUGCUUAUGUUACGUAUUUACUCCCCUAUUUUUGCUGUUAGAGUUAGGAGUUCUGUUUUUCUCAAAUCAAAUGGAGUAAAAUGGAAACUUGUUGAAAGAAUUAACUUGGCCACAAAACAAAAAAGAAAAUCAUAGGAGUGCCAUGUGUAGCUUUCCACUAAGAUGAUAAGUCCUGCAAGGGAUAUUUUAAUUUUAGGUGCUUUGCAAUUUGCUUAUUCUAGCGAUAUUUUAAUUUUAAGUGCUUCUCAAUUUGCUUAUUCUAAGUUAAAGGACUGACCGACUAGGAGCUUCUAUGCAUAUUUAUUACUCUAAUAUUCGUCAUGUUAUAGAAUGAUAACAAAAAAAUUAAACAAACGAGAGAUAGAGGAUUGAACUCCUGAUCCUUUGCUUUUGUUAAAAUUGGAAUACCUGAUUUUCUUACAAGGCACUGAUAGGUCGCCUAUUUCUUCUAGGCUUGAAUCAAAAGAGACAAAAAUGCUUUAAUCCAGUUGUUUCCUUUGUAGUUCUUGUGAAACUUGUUCUUGCAUGUAUGUUUACUGUAAUCUCGUACAAACACGGUAUGAUAGAAAAACAUCUCUGAUCUCUGUGUUAACUGUUAUCAAAUAUUAAUAAAAUUCCCAUUUCAAAUUUUCAAUUAGAAAAUUACUUUAAAACUGUCAUUUAAACUUACAUGUGGAAUGACUGGUGUAUUACCUAAGGUUAUGGUUGAGCUCUUUGAUUCUUUCAUAAUAUUCAUCUUGGCCUCUUUCGGCAAUCUCUACAAGGUCUAUUACUUAAAUCUAUGUAUUACUAAAGCUAAGUAUAAGUUGGUAGACGUCUUGACACUCUGCUAGCAUGAGAGUUAUUUCUUGCUAGACAAAAAAUGUUUUGAGUGAUUCUCUUGCCCAAGAUCAAGUCCUUGAUACUCUUUGAUUCAACUUGCUCUUUUUAGAUCUUUCAACAUUCCGAUCUACCACCUGGCAAUUUUUGUUCACUCCUCUAGGUGGUCUGAUCACAUCUUUGCUUUUAUCUGUCUUGUGAUGUUUGAUUGAUGUAAUGUUAUGGUCAUAUCACUUCUCUCCUUAGCCUGAAUUAAGUAUGAUAUUAUAACCUUAAACUUUGGGUACAUGAUGCAGUCCUAAGCCAAAAUAUUCUUAGCAGUUUCAAAGGUUAAAUCUUCAACUUUUUGUUUAUUAUUGGAUUUACUUCUGGCUAUUUCUUUCUAAAUGAAACAAUUUUGUUGACUGUUUCUCUACUCCGAACUUGAUGCCAACUAUUCAAAUAAAUCAUUUAAGAAUUUCACGUGUCAGCAACAUUUUUGCUUAUGAAAAUUUAAUUUCUUAAUUCAUUUAGUUCUUCCUUAUCACUCUCCCCCCCACCCCUCCGGGUCAAAAAAAAUAAAUCAUGUGGUUCUUAUCAAUUGGCCGUAUAAACUAACAUCUGUCUAUACCACAUAAUGGCCAUAAAAAAGAUCCAUAGUGCAACACUAUCACUGCAGGAGGAAGAUGACUUUCUUCAAGCUAUCUCAAAUAUGUCGUGGUUGAGACACUCAAACAUUGUUCAAUUGAUAGGAUAUUGAGCUGAGCAUUGGCAACGUCUUCUGGUUUAUGACCAUGUCACAAUUGGUAGCUUGCAUGAUAUGCUGCACUUUGCUGAUGAGAGGAGUGAACUGCUUACUUGGAAUGCCCGGGUUAGAGUAGCUCUUGGCACUGCUCGAACUAUAGAUUUACAAAAUAUCUUCCGAAAGUUCUGGAGGCAAAUAGAAGUGAAGCUUCACAUUAUUAGAUAAUAUUUCUUCCAAACGUGGUAUUUUUGUUGAGAUUAAUAAAUGGUAAGAACUUGAUUUUUCUUAUUCUGGUUAUCCUGAUUUUACAUGGAGCUUUCUAAUACAAAAUAUUUUGUGGUUUGAAAGGACAUGUUUGGAUUGGUCUUAAGCAUACAGAUUAAAGUGUUAUAAUUUGGAUAAUAUUUGUACAAGUUAUUUUAAGUUUUUCUCUUAAUUUUGUAUUUUCUUAAUGGUAUUGUAAAGCUCUAAUCUUUGGAGUGAUUUUGUUGAUAUUAUUGAAUGAUAGAGUUGUUAUUUUUUUGUGAACUUGCUUA